rnacentral:lncRNA from 1 species
AAUUUCAACACUUAGAACAUGGGAAAUACAAAAAUUCCAUUUUCAUAUCCACAUAACUAAUCCAACAAAUUGGUACCAUGAUUUUACAUUUAUUUAACUAACUCAAACGAUAGUUUUAAAUACGUAACAUAUUCUCACAAUUAUUCAACUACCCCAAAUUUUUCACAAUUUUUUUAAUAAGUCAUAAUCACUUAUCACAAAUUGAGAAUUUUAACUCCUCACGUCACAUUAAAAGUGGUGCAUGGACCCAUCAAAACAAAAAUCAAGCUGACAAUAUGAGGUAUAGGUACAGUCUUCCAAAUUGAAAUAAAUCAAGUUGUGUGCAUAAAGAACAUAAAAACACUAACUACAUACCAUAGAUUCAGA